UAUGAGAAGAAAAUAAUUUAAAGUAAUCUAAUAAGAACUUUUGAUUUAGUUAAAAAAUUAUGUCUUAUUUAACUAAGAACUCAAUCAUAAGUUUUUCUUUUACGUUAUACUACCAAAAAAGCGAAUUAUAUAAGUACAGGUGGGUUUUAUUCUUAUAUAAAAUACAAAAAAGGAUCUUUAUCCAUAAGAUUAAAGUAUCACUGAAUUCAGUGCUAUUGUUUUAAUUUUUCUUUUUCUUUUUUUGUGUUUUCGAUGGGAAGCUUUUGAGCGGAAUAUUUAUUUUCAAUGGACCGUGAUUUUCUGAUUUAAUUGUGAAAUAUAUGGAUCCAUUUCCAUCUCUAUUUUAAUCCACCAUCAUUUUUAUUAGGUUUGUGAACCAAAUUCAGUCUAGGCUUGAGUGAUUUGGAGUCCUAGUUGAAGUGGUUUUGAAGAGAUCAAAAUUAUGGAUCGGGAAGAAAAAUCGUCGGAUUUUUGCUAGCCUACUGCUAACUGGUCGCUCGAGCAGUGUGCAAGCUUUUAAAGCAGAGAUUGUCAUCUGCCUUAUCUAUAGAAGGAGUUAAUAGAGUUCUGAACGAAUUAGCUCGUUGGUAAUGGAUCAUUUGAAGAUGCCCCUCUAUAAAAUAAAUAGCUUCAGAUAUUUGGAACGGGGCCCAACUAUUGGCUGCCUAGUUGUAGGGUUACUUUUGCAGACAUCUCGAUCGGAAAGACCUCUUACGAGCGGAAGCAAUGCCCUCGGAUGUCAAAGAUAGACAAAUUGAUCGAAAAGACAAGUUAGGAGGCUCAUUUGGUGAGAGCUCGCCGACAAGGCGUCACUCCCGUCUUGCUAGACGAUGCUCGAGCGAAAGCGCCAUCUAGUUUUUCGUUUUAUUUCGAUUUCACGUGUAUUUUGACAUAGUUUCCAGCCUUUUAGGUUAUUUCUAGAUUCUGGGACGUCCCCUAUAAAGAGGAGACUUUUCUUCGAGUUUAUGCAUUGCUGAUAUUGUAUUUUUCUCUCUCUAUUGAUUGUUAAUAAUAAAAUUACUUGGUAACUCUA